rnacentral:lncRNA from 1 species
AUCCCUUUACCCAGUAACUGGUAGUGGAUAAUGCGUUUCCUACUCCUCAUGUGUUUGAAUACCUUUUCUUCCCCAGUUGAGUUGAGUGCACAUUCCCUUAGAGGAAUCACUUUUUCUGCAUGGUUCGAGUAUUUCAGCUUUGUUCUGACCUAUCUGAUUCCCUUACAGAAUUUCUUUCCCCCCUCCCCGGCUAAGUCUUUCCAUUUUCAUGGAAUUCCCCGUGUCCG